rnacentral:rRNA from 1 species
CACGGGGGGAGCAAGCGUUGUUCGGAAUCACUGGGCGUAAAGGGAGUCUAGGCGGUCAGAUAAGUGGAAUGUGAAAUCCCUCGGCUUACCCGAGGACCUGCAUCCCAAACUGUCUGGCUUGAGUAUGGGAGAGGAUGAGGGAAUUCCCGGUGUAGUGGUGAAAUGCGUAGAUAUCGGGAGGAACACCAGUGGCGAAGGCGACUUCCUGGCCUGUUCUUGACGCUGAGGCGCGAAAGCUAGGGGAGCAAACGGG